UACGAAGGGGGCUAGCGUUGCUCGGAAUCACUGGGCGUAAAGCGCACGUAGGCGGACUCUUAAGUCGGUGGUGAAAUCCUGGAGCUCAACUCCAGAACUGCCUUCGAUACUGAGAGUCUCGAGUCCGAGAGAGGUGAGUGGAACUGCGAGUGUAGAGGUGAAAUUCGUAGAUAUUCGCAAGAACACCAGUGGCGAAGGCGGCUCACUGGCUCGAUACUGACGCUGAGGUGCGAAAGCGUGGGGAGCAAACAGG
rnacentral:rRNA from 1 species